GCCUGGGUGGCUCAGUCGGUUGAGCAUCUGACUUCAGCUCAGGUCAUGAUCUCGCCAUUCGUGAGUUCGAGCCCCGCGUCGGGCU
rnacentral:tRNA from 1 species